rnacentral:rRNA from 1 species
CACGUAGGGCGCAAGCGUUGUCCGGAAUUAUUGGGCGUAAAGAGCUCGUAGGCGGUCUGUUGCGUCCGCUGUGAAAGCCCGGGGCUUAACCCCGGGUCGGCAGUGGAUACGGGCAGGCUAGAGGUAGGUAGGGGAGAAUGGAAUUCCCGGUGUAGCGGUGAAAUGCGCAGAUAUCGGGAGGAACACCGGUGGCGAAGGCGGUUCUCUGGGCCUUACCUGACGCUGAGGAGCGAAAGCGUGGGGAGCGAACAGGG